rnacentral:rRNA from 1 species
AUUGAACGCUGGCGGUAGGCCUAACACAUGCAAGUCGAGCGGAUGAAGGGAGCUUGCUCCUGGAUUCAGCGGCGGACGGGCGAGUAAUGCCUAGGAAUCUGCCUGGUAGUGGGGGAUAACGUCCGGAAACGGGCGCUAAUACCGCAUACGUCCUGAGGGAGAAAGGGGGGGAUCUUCGGACCUCACGCUAUCAUAUGAGCCUAGGUCGGAUUAGCUAGUUGGUGGGGUAAAGGCCUACCAAGGCGACGAUCCGUAACUGGUCUGAGAGGAUGAUCAGUCACACUGGAACUGAGACACGGUCCAGACUCCUACGGGAGGCAGCAGUGGGGAAUAUUGGACAAUGGGCGAAAGCCUGAUCCAGCCAUGCCGCGUGUGUGAAGAAGGUCUUCGGAUUGUAAAGCACUUUAAGUUGGGAGGAAGGGCAGUAAGUUAAUACCUUGCUGUUUUGACGUUACCAACAGAAUAAGCACCGGCUAACUUCGUG